CACUGAGCAGGUCGAGUUGUUUCUUAGCUUCCCAAAGAGCUGGAAGCAAGAUGCUGUGGGGCCCAACUCUCCCUUUGGAAAGAAGCCUGCACGUUGUGCCUUUCAGCUCUAGGGCAAAGUAGCACACCCAGAGCAGAAGUCCUACUUCAGCCAGAUCAGGCCUGCAAAGAAACUGCGUUUCACAGGGCUUUGGAAGAGAUGUUCCCGGUAGGCUGUAAGAGCACUGUGCAGAGCGAGUUGUUUCUUAGCUUCCCAAAGAGCUGGAAGCAAGAUGCUGUGGGGCCCAACUCGCCCUUUGGAAAGAAGCCUGCACGUUGUGCCUUUCAGCUCUAGGGCAAUGUAGCACACCCAGAGCAGAAGUCCUACUUCAGCCAGAUCAGGCCUGCAAAGAAACUGCGUUUCACAGGCCUUUGGAAGAGAUGUUCCCGGUAGGCUGUAAGAGCACUGAGCAGAGCGAGUUGUUUCUUAGCUUCCCAAAGAGCUGGAAGCAAGAUGCUGUGGGGCCCAACACGCCCUUUGGAAAGAAGCCUGCACGGUGUUCCUUUCAGCUCUAGGGCAAUGUAGCACUCCCAGAGCAGAAGUCCUACUUCAGCCAGAUCAGGCCUGCAAAGAAACUGCGUUUCACAGGCCUUUGAUAGAGAUGUUCCCGGUAGGCUGUAAGAGCACUGUGCAGAGCGAGUUGUUUCUUAGCUUCCCAAAGAGCUGGAAGCAAGAUGCUGUGGGGCCCAACUCGCCCUUUGGAAAGAAGCCUGCACGGUGUGCCUUUCAGCUCUAGGGCAAAGUAGCACACCCAGAGCAGAAGUCCUACUUUAGCCAGAUGAGGCCUGCAAAGAGACUGCGUUUCACAGGCAUUUGGAAGUGAUGUUCCCGGUAGGCUGUAAGAGCACUGUGCAGAGCGAGUUGUUUCUUAGCUUCCCAAAGAGCUGGAAGCAAGAUGCUGUGGGGCCCAACUCGCCCUUUGGAAAGAAGCCUGCACGUUGUGCCUUUCAGCUCUAGGGCAAAGUAGCACACCCAGAGCAGAAGUCCUACUUCAGCCAGAUCAGGCCUGCAAAGAAACUGCGUUUCACAGGCCUUUGGAAGAGAUGUUCCCGGUAGGCUGUAAGAGCACUGUGCAGAGCGAGUUGUUUCUUAGCUUCCCAAAGAGCUGGAAGCAAGAUGCUGUGGGGCCCAACUCGCCCUUUGGAAAGAAGCCUGCACGUUGUGCCUUUCAGCUCUAGGGCAAUGUAGCACACCCAGAGCAGAAGUCCUACUUCAGCCAGAUCAGGCCUGCAAAGAAACUGCGUUUCACAGGCCUUUGGAAGAGAUGUUCCCGGUAGGCUGUAAGAGCACUGUGCAGAGCGAGUUGUUUCUUAGCUUCCCAAAGAGCUGGAAGCAAGAUGCUGUGGGGCCCAACUCGCCCUUUGGAAAGAAGCCUGCACGGUGUGCCUUUCAGCUCUAGGGCAAAGUAGCACACCCAGAGCAGAAGUCCUACUUCAGCCAGAUCAGGCCUGCAAAGAAACUGCGUUUCACAGGCCUUUGGAAGAGAUGUUCCCGGUAGGCUGUAAGAGCACUGUGCAGAGCGAGUUGUUUCUUAGCUUCCCAAAGAGCUGGAAGCAAGAUGCUGUGGGGCCCAACUCGCCCUUUGGAAAGAAGCCUGCACGGUGUUCCUUUCAGCUCUAGGGCAGUGUAGCACUCCCAGAGCAGAAGUCCUACUUCAGCCAGAUCAGGCCUGCAAAGAAACUGCGUUUCACAGGCCUUUGGGAGAGAUGUUCCCGGUAGGCUGUAAGAGCACUGUGCACAGCGAGUUGUUUCUUAGCUUCCCAAAGAGCUGGAAGCAAGAUGCUGUGGGGCCCAACUCGCCCUUUGGAAAGAAGCCUGCACGUUGUGCCUUUCAGCUCUAGGGCAAAGUAGCACACCCAGAGCAGAAGUCCUACUUCAGCCAGAUCAGGCCUGCAAAGAAACUGCGUUUCACAGGCCUUUGGAAGAGAAGUUCCCGGUAGUUUGUAAGAGCACUGUGCAGAGCGAGUUGUUUCUUAGCUUCCCAAAGAGCUGGAAGCAAGAUGCUGUGGGGCCCAACUCGCCCUUUGGAAAGAAGCCUGCACGGUGUGCCUUUCAGCUCUAGGGCAAUGUAGCACACCCAGAGCAGAAGUCCUACUUCAGCCAGAUCAGGCCUGCAAAGAAACUGCGUUUCACAGGCCUUUGGAAGAGAUGUUCCCGGGAGGCUGUAAGAGCACUGUGCAGAGCGAGUUGUUUCUUAGCUUCCCAAAGAGCUGGAAGCAAGAUGCUGUUGGGCCCAAAUCGCCCUUUGGAAAGAAGCCUGCACGUUGUGCCUUUCAGAUCUAGGGCAAAGUAGCACACCCAGAGCAGAAGUCCUACUUCAGCCACAUCAGGCCUGCAAAGAAACUGCGUUUCACAGGCCUUUGGAAGAGAUGUUCCCGGUAGGCUGUAAGAGCACUGUGCAGAGCGAGUUGUUUCUUAGCUUCCCAAAGAGCUGGAAGCAAGAUGCUGUGGGGCCCAACUCGCCCUUUUUAAAGAAGCCUGCACGGUGUUCCUUUCAGCUCUAGGGCCGUGUAGCACUCCCAGAGCAGAAGUCCUACUUCAGCCAGAUCAGGCCUGCAAAGAAACUGCGUUUCACAGGCCUUUGGAAGAGAUGUUCCCGGUAGGCUGUAAGAGCACUGUGCAGAGCGAGUUGUUUCUUAGCUUCCCAAAGAGCUGGAAGCAAGAUGCUGUGGGGCCCAACUCGCCCUUUGGAAAGAAGCCUGCACGUUGUGCCUUUCAGCUCUAGGGCAAAGUAGCACACCCAGAGCAGAAGUCCUACUUCAGCCAGAUCAGGCCUGCAAAGAAACUGCGUUUCACAGGCCUUUGGAAGAGAAGUUCCCGGUAGGCUGUAAGAGCACUGAGCAGAGCGAGUUGUUUCUUAGCUUCCCAAAGAGCUGGAAGCAAGAUGCUGUGGGGCCCAACUCGCCCUUUGGAAAGAAGCCUGCACAUUGUUCCUUUCAGCUCUAGGGCAAUGUAGCACACCCAGAGCAGAAGUCCUACUUCAGGCAGAUCAGGCCUGCAAAGAAACUGCGUUUCACAGGCCUUUGGAAGAGAUGUUCCCACUAGGCUGUAAGAGCACUGAGCAGAGCGAGUUGUUUCUUAGCUUCCCAAAGAGCUGGAAGCAAGAUGCUGUGGGGCACAACUCGCCCUUUGGAAAGAAGCCUGCACGGUGUUCCUUUCAGCUCUAGGGCAAUGUAGCACUCCCAGAGCAGAAGUCCUACUUCAGCCAGAUCAGGCCUGCAAAGAAACUUCGUUUCACAGGCCUUUGGAAGAGAUGUUCCCGGUAGGCUGUAAGAGCACUGUGCAGAGCGAGUUGUUUCUUAGCUUCCCAAAGAGCUGGAGGAAGAUGCUGUGGGGCCCAAAUCGCCCUUUGGAAAGAAGCCUGCAUGGUGUGCCUUUCAGCUCUAGGGCAAUGUAGCACACCCAGAGCAGAAGUCCUACUUCAGCCAGAUCAGGCCUGCAAAGAAACUGCGUUUCACUGGCCUUUGGAAGAGAUGUUCCCACUAGGCUGUAAGAGCACUGUGCAGAGCGUGUUCUUUCUUAGCUUCCCAAAGAGCUGGAAGCAAGAUGCUGUGGGGCCCAACUCGCCCUUUGGAAAGAAGCCUGCACGGUGUGCCUUUCAGCUCUAGGGCAAAGUAGCACACCCAGAGCAGAAGUCCUACUUCAGCCAGAUCAGGCCUGCAAAGAAACUGCGUUUCACAGGCCUUUGGAAGAGGUGUUCCCGGUAGGCUGUAAGAGCACUGAGCAGAGCGAGUUGUUUCUUAGCUUCCCAAAGAGCUGGAAGCAAGAUGCUGUGGGGCCCAACUCGCCCUUUGGAAAGAAGCCUGCACGUUGUGCCUUUCAGCUCUAGGGCAAAGUAGCACACCCAGAGCAGAAGUCCUACUUCAGCCUGAUCAGGCCUGCAAAGAAACUGCGGAGACCCCCAAGGCCCAAGGCCCCCACCCCCACCACCACAGAUCACUGUGGAAGCCUUAACGACCCAAGGCUCCAGCUACAUACACACGCUCUUAGGAGGCAAGAUACACCAAGGGCUUAUGUGGGUUGCCACUUUUGGUGGUUGUUUCCGUGGCGUGUGAGUUUUGGAACCCGCCACGCCAUUUUUCACAGAGGCCAUACCGUUUCCCUUCACCACCAGUGAGGCGUGAGUGACUGACUUGGCUUCUCCGCGACCUCACUAGCAGUUUGAUCCUGUUCCUGUAUUUGGAAGAAGGCAGUCUCACCCAUGUGUCCCCACAAUGUCUCCCUCUAAUUUUCUCACUUGCUUUUCCAGGGAACAGCUCACAUCUUUUCAUGCGCUUAUCGGUCAUCCAUGCGUACCUCCUCCUCCCCAGGUGAAAGUGCCUGCUCUGUCUAUUGGUCUUCCAUUGUAUUUGUAUUUUUCAGUGUUGAUUUCCCCCGGGUCUCCACUCCAUUGUGGGUUUUGUUUUUUGUUUUUUGUUUUUUUGUUUUUUUUGCUUAAAGAUUGCCACCUGAGCCAGCCCCUGUUGCCCAUCUU
rnacentral:lncRNA from 1 species